GAUGAAGAACGCAGCGAAAUGCGAUACGUAAUGUGAAUUGCAGAAUUCAGUGAAUCAUCGAAUCUUCGAACGCAUAUUGCGCUCUCUGGUAUUCCGGAGAGCAUGCUUGUUUGAGUAUCAGUAAACACCUCAACUUCCAUAUCUUUUUUGAAAUGGGAGUUGGACUUGAGUGAUCCCAACGCUUUUCCUCACCGAAAAGUGGCGGGUUACUUGAAAUGCGGGUGCAGCUGGACUUUUCUCUGAGCUAUAAGCAUAUCUAUUUAGUCUGCCUAAAAAACAGAUUAUUACCUUUGCUGCAGCUAACAUAAAGGAGAUUAGUUCUUGUGCUGACUGAUGCAGGAUUCACAAAGACAGGCUUCGGCCGACUUUGUAAACUCGAUCUCAAAUCAAGUAAGACUACCCGCUGAACUUAAGCAUAUCAAUAAGCGGAGGA
rnacentral:misc_RNA from 1 species